rnacentral:rRNA from 1 species
CCUACGGGUGGCAGCAGUGGGGAAUAUUGCACAAUGGGGGAAACCCUGAUGCAGCGACGCCGCGUGAGUGCAGAAGUAAUUCGUUAUGUAAAGCUCUAUCAGCAGGGAAGAAAAUGACGGUACCUGAGUAAGAAGCCCCGGCUAACUACGUGCCAGCAGCCGCGGUAAUACGUAGGGGGCAAGCGUUAUCCGGAUUUACUGGGUGGAAAGGGAGCGUAGACGGCAGUGCAAGUCUGGAGUGAAAGGCGGGGGCUCAACCCGCGGACUGCUCUGGAAACUGUACGGCUGGAGUGCAGGAGAGGUAAGUGGAAUUCCAAGUGUAGCGGUGAAAUGCGUAGAUAUUAGGAGGAACACCAGUGGCGAAGGCGGCUUACUGGACUGUAACUGACGUUGAGGCUCGAAAGCGUGGGGAGCAAACAGGAUUAGAUACCCCUGUAGUC